AUACGGAGGGUGCGAGCGUUGUUCGGAAUUACUGGGCGUAGAGGGCGCGUAGGCGGCUUUACAAGUCAGGUGUGAAAGUCCACGGCUCAACCGUGGAAGUGCAUUUGAAACUGUAAGGCUUGAGUACUGGAGGGGAGUGUGGAAUUCCUGGUGUAGAGGUGAAAUUCGUAGAGAUCAGGAGGAAUGCCGGUGGCGAAGGCGACACUCUGGACAGAUACUGACGCUGAGGCGCGAAAGCGUGGGGAGCAAACAGGAUUAGAAACCCCAGUAGUCC
rnacentral:rRNA from 1 species